rnacentral:snoRNA from 1 species
AGCAUUACUGACCAGGUCUGUUGCCUGGUACAAUCCAGUGGUGCGCUGAUAGUGACCCCUGGUAAGGAAACAAGGCUGAUCUUUAUUUGGGUGACUCUGUGCAAAAAGCAGGGAAACAGCC